rnacentral:rRNA from 1 species
UACAGAGGGGGCAAGCGUUGUUCGGAAUUACUGGGCGUAAAGGGCGCGUAGGCGGCCCGCUAAGUCGAACGUGAAAUCCCUGGGCUCAACCCAGGAACUGCGUCCGAUACUGGCAGGCUUGAAUCCGGGAGAGGGAUGUGGAAUUCCUGGUGUAGCGGUGAAAUGCGCAGAUAUCAGGAGGAACACCGAUUGCGAAGGCAGCUCGCUGGGACGUAACUGACGCUGAGACGCGAAAGCGUGGGGAGCAAACAGG